GAUCCCUAUGCCUUGGUUAUUUACUUAUCUCAUCCCAGCGCCGAUGUCCAUCGACGCUGCGUUGAAGCUCUGCCUCCUCCGUCCGCGACAAGCGGGGUCUAAUGCACAUGCAUAGCAAAUGCCGCGUGCGCCUUAGACCUCCCCGUAGUAAAGUAUUGAAUCAAUGCUUUCCUAUGGGGAAAAUCUGACGCCGGAGGUCCUUAUUCACUGCCAGGAGUGCCCUUUAAAGGCACUCUUGGCACCAGAACCACUAUAGUGUGCUUUAGUUGACAUGUUCCUUUAUGGGUUUGAAGCAUUUAUAUCAUACAACUUCAAUUUUAACCCCUUAGUGACGAGACCCAUUUUAAAUUUUCUUACCGUUUUGGACCAGGGCUGUUUUUACAUUUCUACGGUGUUUGUGUAUAGCUGUAAUUUUCCUCUUACUCAUUUACUGUACCCACACAGAUUAUAUACCAUAUUUCUCGCCAUUAAAUGGUCUUUCGAAGAUACAAUUUUUUUUCAUCAUAUCAUAUAAUUUACUAUAAAAUAAAAUAUAAAAUGUGAUGAAAAAAAUGUAAAAAAACACUUUUUAGAACUUUGACCCUCAAAAUCUGUUACUCAUCUACAACUGUCAAAAAACAUCCGUGCUAAAUAGUUUUUACAUUUUGUCUUGAGUUUAGAAAUGCCCAAUGUUCUUAGCAUGUUUUUGGGAAGUUAUAGGGUAAUAAGUACAAGUAGCACUUUGCCAUUUCCAAACCAUUUUAUUUCAAAAUUAACGUAAGUUACAUUGUAACACUGAUAUCUGUCAGGAAUCCCUGAAUAACCCUUCACAUGUAAAUAGUUUUUAAAAGACCACCACCUAAGGUAUUAAACUUUGGGUAUAUUGACUCUUUUCAUGCAACCAUUUUUCCACCAAUCUAUG